ensembl:lncRNA
AGUAUUCUUUUUUCAUAAAAAAAUCAAUGCAUUUUUAAAGAAAUGGAAGCGUAAGCAUACCGCCGCUGUCAUUUCCCUCCAUCCUCCCCACCACCACCAGGUUGGCCCUGUCCAUGCGGGGGGUAGGCUCCGCCCUGCCUUCGUCUUCGGCAGGAUUAGCUGGUAUCUACAAACUUCAGAUCCACGCUACGGAUGGGGCCUAUGCCAAAAUAAUUAUAUUUUUUGUGUUGUUGUAAAUAAAUACUUCAGUCUUAUCUCUACCUCCUGAGUCUUUCUGGUAGAAAUUGUGAGACAUUGUGAGUAUGAUUUCAUUUAAUAAUUUAAUUAGAAUUGUUUUCACACCUAUCAUAGUCAAAACAUUAUUGUUUUUUAAAGAGCCGUUUGUGAGCCAAAAGAGCCGGCUCUUUUCAGUGAGCUGAGUCAAACGAGCCGGCUCAUGAAAAAGAGCCGAAAUGCCCAUCAACCAAUAAGAUUCCAUGUACGAUGUCGCGUUUUCAUUGGUCAGUCGUUGAAGCCUAUUUCUGAUUGGUUGUUGCCAUUUUGACAGCGUUUAUGCCAAGAGCAAAGAGAAAGAAAUCGAAGAGAAGAGCACUUGGUCAUGCGCGAACGCACGGGACACAGUCUAAGCACAUACACGCUUACUUUAAGCGAAGAGGAGAGAUUCGCGAUUGCACUUAACACGUUUUAAGUGCAGGCAGACUCUCUGAGCGAGCCCAGAGAAAAUUCUUACAAGAGCAACGUGUAUCUGAGAGCGCGCGCGCGCGAGCAGAGAGAUUCGCGCUCGCACAUUAUAUUAAUGUACUUUCGCGCUACAAUAAUGCGCUCUCGACAUUUGACAGGGAAAUAACGCCAUAGACAACCCCUUACUAACUGACCAGUUUUUGGCCAGAAUAAUUCAUGAAGCAAUGUCUCAGUGACAGUAUAUGUAUGAAAUAUGGUUUGGAAACUGUAAAGUCUUACUGAUUUCUCUUUCAUCUGAAUGGAUCUUUUUCAAUUUCAGUUGUGCCCUAUAACUGCAUUUUGGUAAGCUGCAAGUGUGAGAUCAUUAGGGGGGCCUGAAGCAAACACUGUAGGGGUCAGACAGAGAGGACACUGCCAAUCUCCUUCCUGAGAGAGGAAAUGCACAGACAUGCUGUCAGAUAGCAGACAUGCAGGACUGACAGCGAGAGAUGUGAAAUCUGGAGGUCAGGAGAAGUGUACGAGCCAUCCACAUUUGUGAAUAUUUGAGAAGGACGGAGGCUCUGUGGGAAUGGCCCAUUAGAGAGUGCAUGCACCCAGAGGAUAAUCAGAUACAGGGCAAAUUACCCCCAGCUGGACACUAGUCCUGCACUUUCAUGGAGCGUAAGAGGAAUGGAAAGACCUUUCCUGACUCGUGGGUGUGUGGGUGAUUGCAAUUGCGAUUCCAUACGGAAUGCUGAUUGGGACUCUGACCCUGACGCAGUUGGUAGGUAUGAUGGUUUAUGGGCCAUUUGACCGCAUUUAAUUCUGCGCACAACAGAGGCCCAUUACAGACAUGACUGCUUGGAGAUUUCAUCCCUUAACCCUCUGACUUUGUUUUUACAAUCUUCACAUUUCAGGAUUGAGCAUGAAGUAAGGUUACUGACAG